GACGAACGCUGGCGGCGUGCCUAAUACAUGCAAGUUGAGCGCUGAAGGUUGGUACUUGUACCAACUGGAUGAGCAGCGAACGGGUGAGUAACGCGUGGGGAAUCUGCCUUUGAGCGGGGGACAACAUUUGGAAACGAAUGCUAAUACCGCAUAAAAACUUUAAACACAAGUUUUAAGUUUGAAAGAUGCAAUUGCAUCACUCAAAGAUGAUCCCGCGUUGUAUUAGCUAGUUGGUGAGGUAAAGGCUCACCAAGGCGAUGAUACAUAGCCGACCUGAGAGGGUGAUCGGCCACAUUGGGACUGAGACACGGCCCAAACUCCUACGGGAGGCAGCAGUAGGGAAUCUUCGGCAAUGGACGAAAGUCUGACCGAGCAACGCCGCGUGAGUGAAGAAGGUUUUCGGAUCGUAAAACUCGGUUGGUAGAGAAGAACGUUAGUGAGAGUGGAAAGCUCAUCAAGUGACGGUAACUACCCAGAAAGGGACGGCUAACUACGUG
rnacentral:rRNA from 1 species